AGUGCGCAAAUGAGGAAAUUCUUUUAGUAAAUGGUAAUGUGCAUCUGAAUACUUCAUUCAUGUUAACACCUUGGAGAGCUGGUGCCCAGA